CGCCGCGUGAAGGAAGAAGGCAUUCGUGUUGCAAACUUCUUUGACGAGGGAUGAAUUCAUGACAGUACCUCGAAAACAAGCCACGGCUAACUACGUGCCAGCAGCCGCGGUAAUACGUAGGUGGCGAGCGUUAUCCGGAAUUACUGGGUGUAAAGGGCGUGUAGGCGGGCUAAUAAGUCUGACGUGAAAUUUAGGGGCUUAACCCUUAGACUGCGUUGGAAACUGUAAGUCUUGAGUAAUGGAGAGGCAGGCGGAAUUCCUAGUGUAGCGGUGAAAUGCGUAGAUAUUAGGAGGAACACCAGUGGCGAAGGCGGCCUGCUGGACAUAAACUGACGCUGAGGCGCGAAAGUGUGGGGAGCAAACAGGAUUAGAUACCCUGGUAGUCCACGCUGUAAACGAUGAAUACUAGGUGUGGGGAGACUGACCCUCUCCGUGCCGGAGCAAACGCAAUAAGUAUUCCACCUGGGGAGUACGGUCGCAAGAUUAAAACUCAAAGGAAUUGACGGGGGCCCGCACAAGCAGUGGAUUAUGUGGUUUAAUUCGAAGCAACGCGAAGAACCUUACCAGGGCUUGACAUGGAGUCAGCGUAGGUAGAGAUACCUAUUCAUUUAGUUGGGACUCACACAGGUGGUGCAUGGUUGCCGUCAGCUCGUGUCGUGAGAUGUUGGGUUAAGUCCCGCAACGAGCGCAACCC
rnacentral:rRNA from 1 species